UACGUAGGGGGCAAGCGUUAUCCGGAUUUACUGGGUGUAAAGGGGGCGCAGACGGCGAUGCAAGCCAGGAGUGAAAGCCCGGGGCCCAACCCCGGGACUGCUCUUGGAACUGCGUGGCUGGAGUGCAGGAGGGGCAGGCGGAAUUCCUGGUGUAGCGGUGAAAUGCGUAGAUAUCAGGAGGAACACCGGUGGCGAAGGCGGCCUGCUGGACAGCAACUGACGCUGAGGCGCGAAAGCGUGGGGAGCAAACAGG
rnacentral:rRNA from 1 species